GAUGAACGCUGGCGGCGUGCCUAAUACAUGCAAGUCGAGCGAACGGACGAGAAUCUUGCUUUUCUGAUGUUAGCGGCGGACGUGUGAGUAACACGUGGAUAACCUACCUAUAAGACUUGGAUAACUUCGGGAAACCGGAGCUAAUACCGGAUAAUAUUUUGAACCGCAUGGUUCAAAAGUUAAAGACGUUCUUGCUGUCACUUAUAGAUUGUUCCGAGCUGCAUUAGCUAGUUGGUAAUGUAACGGCUUACCAAGGCAACGAUGCAUAGCCGACCUGAGAGGGUGAUCGGCCAAAAUGGGAAUGGGACAAGGUCCAGAAUCAUAAGGGAGGCAGAAGGAGGGAAACUUACGAAAAGGGAGAAAGACUGAAGGAGAAAAGACGAGGGAGGGAUGAAGGACUUAGGAUCGUAAAAAUCUGUUAUUAGGGAAGAAAAUAAGUGUAAGUAAAAGUGCAAAUGUUGAAGGUAACUAAAAAGAAAGCCACGGCUAAAUACGUGC
rnacentral:rRNA from 1 species